AGUGAUAUGCUUGUCUCAAAGACUAAGCCAUGCAGGUGUAAGUACGAGCGAACAUGAGGGUGAAACUGCGAACGGCUCAUUAAAUCAGUUAUGGUUCCUUAGGUCGAUAGCCCCCGAGGAGUACUUGGAUAACUCUGGCAAUUCUAGAGCUAAUACAUGCACCUAGUCUCCGACCCCUCGCGAGAGGGGGAAGAGCGCUUUUGUUAGUAUAUAUGGAGAACAGCCCGGACGCCUCGGUGGCGGCCUCGCGUCGCGCCAGGCUCCGGCCGGUUUGUUGACUCUGAGCAACGGGCAGAUCGCUAAUGGCCUCCGUGCCGGCGACAGGCCUUUCGAGUGUCUGCCCUAUCAACUGGUUGGUAUGCACUAUGCGCACCAAGGUGGUAACGGGUGACGGGGAAUCAGGGUUCGAUUCCGGAGAGGGAGCAUGAGAAUCGGCUACCACAUCUAAGGAAGGCAGCAGGCACGCAAAUUACCCAAUCCCGACACGGGGAGGUAGUGACGAAAAAUAACAAUGCGGGUCUCCUCGCGAGGCCUCGUAAUUGGAAUGAGUACAGUGUAAAAUCUUGCGACGAGGA
rnacentral:rRNA from 1 species